rnacentral:rRNA from 1 species
CACCUGUUUAAUCAAAAACAUUUCUUUAAGAAGUAAUUUAAAGUAAAGCCUGCUCAAUGACAAGAAUAAAUAGCCGCAGUAUUACUGUGCUAAGGUAGCAUAAUAACUUGCUUCUUAAUUAGGAGAUCGCAUGAAGGGUUAUACAUUAGGAUCCUGUCUCUUUUAACCAAAUAAACUUAAGUAAAAAGUAAAAACUCUUUUAACCAAAGCGGGACGACAAGACCCUGACAAACUUAACAUUUAGUUGGGGAAACAAAAUAAUAAAUAUUUAUUCAUAACUUAAACAUAACUUUAAAAUAAAAACAAGACUAGUUACUGCAGGGAUAACAGCGUUAUUUCUUUUAAGAGCUCUGAUCUAAAAAGAAGAUUACGACCUCGAUGUUGAAUUAAUUCCGCUAUACGGGUGCAACAACCCUAUAAGGUA